UGAUUAUAUGGUUGUACGUAGAAG
rnacentral:siRNA from 1 species